CUUAAUGUGCAAAUGCCUAACUAGGCCCAUAAAUUGCUUUUAAAUUCCCCUAAGGGUGCGUUACUUUUCCCCAAAGAUACUUUUACUAUGCGUUAAAUUAUUUCUUUUUAAUGUGCGUUGGAGCUGUGUAAUUGUUUCAAAUGGCAGUGCCGACUGAUUGGACCGAGAGAAGGUAGAUGGAUUGCAUUUCCAGUCGACAAGUUGCGUAAGGAAAAUAUUGAAAAGGGGGAGAAGGGAUAUCAUUUUCGUCUGUGGGUCACUUUGGCUAAACAAUUUAUUUGAUGAUGAUUUACCAUCUGGACGUCGGCCGCACAAAAAUGUCUCUAUUUUGCGUGGUACGCUUGAUUUAUAACGGAAAAUUCGUUUAAGCAAAACAAAACGCUAAACAAUUUUUGUGGGCCACGUUAAUAAGCGCAACAUAACGAACAUAAUAUCUUAACUUGGUCAUCAGGCAGCAGACGGCCCAACAAAAGAAAAGGCAUCUUUAAAAGCAGCAACAACAACAGCAGCAGUCGUGACUAUUACAUAACCCCCACACUCAGAUACAGAUACAGAUACAAAUGCAGAUACAGAUACAGAUACAGGCAUCCGAGAGUGUGGCUGAAUCUCAGACUCCAAGCUCGAGUUUGCCUCUGCGUUUGCGUUUGAGUCUGGGUCUUAGACUCUGCGGCCAACAUGGCGUCGUCGGUCGAAAAGAAAAUAGUCAAUGUAUUGUGGAAAGAAAACAACAAAGCGCGAAGAAAAAGAGAUAGCAAAAGUCAGUCGCAGUCGAAGUCGAAGUCGAAGUCGGCAUAGAAAGUGAAACCACUCUGUGUUGGCCACACGAUCGUCGUUGCCAGGCGAAUACCAACACAAAAGAGAGGGAACGAAGCCUGGCUCUAAGAUUCGCUGCAGCUAAAGCUGAAGUCGGAGAUGAAGCGCCGCGGAGGCACAACAAUGCGGCGCGGACAAAGUGGAACUGGAGUGUGAAAGAUGGAUUGAAUGACAACUGAAUGCUGAAUAGAGAUCUGCUGGAUCGGGAUCUGGAGCUGAUCACCGAGGAAACCGAAAGUGACGCCGAUCGAAGGGGUCCAACCUUUUAUCUUUUUCACUAUCCCUUUUCAAAUUGGUUCAGACCACUCAUGUAACUGGAUUAAGUCAGUGACUAGCUCAGAAAGCCAACAGUAUUAUAAUUGUACAGGUGCCAUCAACAUCUAUAAAUCUUUAUUACAGAAUAUCUGAAUUUAAAAUCGAAUUAAUUAAUUAAAUUAUUACACAUUUUUCUUUUCAUCAUAGGAAACACUUUUGCAUUAGUUGUAAUAAUA